rnacentral:rRNA from 1 species
GGGAACACCCCCUUAUCUGAGGGCCACACCCCCUAAGAAUUAGAACACUAACAUAAAAUGAUCCAUUACUUGAUCAAUGAACCAAGUUACCCUGGGGAUAACAGCGCAAUCCAUUUCAAGAGCCCCUAUCGACAAAUGGGUUUACGACCUCGAUGUUGGAUCAGGGUACCCCAGUGGUGCAGCAGCUACUAACGGUUCGUUUGUUCAACGAUUAA